rnacentral:rRNA from 1 species
GACGAACCGUGCGAACGUUGUUCGGAAUCACUGGGCUUAAAGGGCGCGUAGGCGGGUCGAAAAGUCCGUGGUGAAAUCCCCCCGCUCAACGGGGGAACGGCCGCGGAUACUGUCGGCCUCGAGGGGGGUAGGGGCGAGCGGAACGCUGGGUGGAGCGGUGAAAUGCGUUGAUAUCCAGCGGAACUCCGGUGGCGAAGGCGGCUCGCUGGGCCGUUCCUGACGCUGAGACGCGAAAGCUAGGGGAGCGAACAGG